GAUGAACGCUGGCGGCGUGCUUAACACAUGCAAGUCGAACGAAGCAUUUAGAACAGAUUACUUCGGUUUGAAGUUCUUUAUGACUGAGUGGCGGACGGGUGAGUAACGCGUGGGUAACCUGCCUUGUACUGGGGGAUAGCAGCUGGAGACGGCUGGUAAUACCGCAUAAGCGCACAAUGUUGCAUGACAUGGUGUGAAAAACUCCGGUGGUAUAAGAUGGACCCGCGUCUGAUUAGCUAGUUGGUGAGAUAACAGCCCACCAAGGCGACGAUCAGUAGCCGACCUGAGAGGGUGACCGGCCACAUUGGGACUGAGACACGGCCCAGACUCCUACGGGAGGCAGCAGUGGGGAAUAUUGCACAAUGGAGGAAACUCUGAUGCAGCGACGCCGCGUGAGUGAAGAAGUAAUUCGUUAUGUAAAGCUCUAUCAGCAGGGAAGAUAGUGACGGUACCUGACUAAGAAGCUCCGGCUAAAUACGUG
rnacentral:rRNA from 1 species